UCUCCGUUGGUGAACCAGCGGAGGGAUCAUUGCUGGAACGCGCCCCGGCGCACCCAGAAACCCUUUGUGAACUCAUACCCAUACUGUUGCCUCGGCGCUGGCCGGCCUCCUCACGGGGGCCCCCUGGAGACAGGGAGCAGCCCGCCGGCGGCCAAACCAACUCUUGUUUCUUAGUGAAUCUCUGAGUAAAAAACACAAUGAAUCAAAACUUUCAACAACGGAUCUCUUGGUUCUGGCAUCGAUGAAGAACGCAGC
rnacentral:misc_RNA from 1 species